rnacentral:rRNA from 3 species
GAUUGAACGCUGGCGGCAGGCUUAACACAUGCAAGUCGAGCGGAGAGAAGUAGCUUGCUACUGAUCUUAGCGGCGGACGGGUGAGUAAUACUUAGGAAUCUGGCUAUUAGUGGGGGACAACAUUUCGAAAGGGAUGCUAAUACCGCAUACGUCCUACGGGAGAAAGCAGGGGAUCAGUAAUGACCUUGCGCUAAUAGAUGAGCCUAAGUCGGAUUAGCUAGUUGGUGGGGUAAAGGCCUACCAAGGCGACGAUCUGUAGCGGGUCUGAGAGGAUGAUCCGCCACACUGGGACUGAGACACGGCCCAGACUCCUACGGGAGGCAGCAGUGGGGAAUAUUGGACAAUGGGGGGAACCCUGAUCCAGCCAUGCCGCGUGUGUGAAGAAGGCCUUAUGGUUGUAAAGCACUUUAAGCGAGGAGGAGGGUACUGGUAUUAAUACUACCAGCUACUGGACGUUACUCGCAGAAUAAGCACCGGCUAACUCUGU